GUGUGCGUGUGUGUGUGUGUGUGUGUGUGUGUGUGUGUGUGUGUGUGUGUGUGUGUGUGUGUGUGUGUGUGUGUGUGUGUGUGUGUGUGUGUGUGUGUGUGUGUGUGUGUGUGUGUGUUUGCAGACAGGACGGUGUUUACGUGACAAUUUAUGCAAAGCGCGACGUCAGUCGUCAGAAGAAGAAGAAGAAGAAGAAGAAGAAGAAGAAGAAGAAGAAAGCCAAGGUCAACAACACCCGGCUGCUGGCCACACUUUGGACAGCCCUGAGAGAACCUACUAUAGUGCACACACUUCCUGUCCUCUUCCAAAACCCGCCACCUCUGCCAGUUCCUUUCACUGGAACUAAGAGGUCAAGCCCAACUCCUGAAAGACAACCCCACACCAUAAUUCCUCCUCCACCAAAUGUCACAGUGGGCACACUGCAGUCUUAAAUGUAGUGUUCUCCUGACAAGCUCCACAGCCAGACUGCUCCUUCAGAUUGUUAGAUGGAAAAGUGUGGUUCAUCAGUCCAGAGAAGACGUCUCCACUGCUCUAGAGUCCAGCGGUGAUGUCCUUUACACCACUGCAUCCCACACUUUGCAUUGGACUUGUGAUGUAUGGCUUAGAUGCAGCCACUCGGCCAUGGAAACCCAUUCCACGAAGCUCUCUGCGUACUGGACGUGGGCUAAUGAAGUUUGGAAGUGUGUAGCAAGUGACUGUGCAGAAAGUCUUUGCACUAUGACGACCUCUCUCUCACUUUACCUGGCCUACCACUGUACAU